UACGGGGGGAGCAAGCGUUGUUCGGAUUUACUGGGCGUAAAGGGCGCGUAGGCGGUCAGCACAAGUCAGUUGUGAAAUCUCCGGGCUUAACUCGGAAAGGUCAACUGAUACUGUGCGACUAGAGUGCAGAAGGGGCAACUGGAAUUCUCGGUGUAGCGGUGAAAUGCGUAGAUAUCGAGAGGAACACCAGUGGCGAAGGCGAGUCCCUGGACAACUCCUGACGCUGAGGCACGAAAGCUAGGGGAGCAAACAGG
rnacentral:rRNA from 1 species